rnacentral:lncRNA from 10 species
UGAAAAGCCCUUCACAACUGCAUAUGGACCUGAGUGGAGAAGACAGGGCUCCAAAUGGACUUCCAGUCCCAUCCACGUCACAGAGGCAAAUUGUCAGAGACAAAGACCUAAGCCGGUCCUUUUCCAGGAGUAAAUGACCAUCGUGCGCCCAUGGGAAGAGUGCUGCAUCCACGGAGGACAUGGGCCAACAGUGCUCUCAAAUGGGUUUCAUGAAAGCAUCUGUGACUCAUCCCUGUUCAAGAAUGUUUUCAUUACGAUUCAGCAGAAGCGAUGUGCCAGGUCAGCAAAUACAACUGCAAAACCGGGGCCUGCCAGCCUGGCCAACACAGCAAGACCCCGUCUCUACUAAAAAGUAAAAUUAAAAUUAGCUGAGUAUGGUGGUGCGUGGCUGCAGUCUCAGUUACUCAGGAGGCUAAGGUGGGAGGGUCACUUGAGUCCAGGAGGCCGGGGCUGCAGGGAGCCGUGAUCGCACCACUGCACUCCAGCCUGACGCCGUCUCAAAAACAAAACAAAAAAAACCCAGGGCCUGAAUGCAAAGUGAACACUUGCUCCUGUUAAUCGUAGCACUUGCAUUACAGGCCUGGUGGCUCCUAGCAUCCGUCCGCAGCACAAGGCCAUGUUGUGUAGUGGCACAUCCCCAGUCCAGCCGCGGGGAGCUGCCUGCAAGGGGAGGUGGUGAGCAAACAGCUGCGCAGCAGCAGGGAAGCGUCAUCUCCAUCUCACUUCAUGGCCCUCCCCAGCUGCUGCAGAGAUGCUGGGGGUCCCUUCUACAGGCAGGCCUGUGUUCUAAUGAGAGCCAGGAGACUGGCAAGAUUAAGCAGAGUCCUCAUGAGUGAUCUGGAAAAC